GUGAGAGUAGCUCAACUGGUUAGAGCAUCAGACUGUGGAUCUGAGGGUUGGGGGUUCAAGUCCCCUCUCUCACCCCU
rnacentral:tRNA from 1 species